UACAGAGGUCCCAAGCGUUGUUCGGAUUCACUGGGCGUAAAGGGUGCGUAGGCGGUCGGGUAAGUCUGAUGUGGAACCUCACAGCUUAACUGUGAAACUGCAUUGGAUACUAUCCGGCUCGAGGAAUGGAGGGGAGACUGGAAUACUUGGUGUAGCAGUGAAAUGCGUAGAUAUCAAGUGGAACACCAGUGGCGAAGGCGAGUCUCUGGACAUUUCCUGACGCUGAGGCACGAAAGCCAGGGGAGCAAACGGG
rnacentral:rRNA from 1 species